rnacentral:piRNA from 2 species
UCUCUAGGAUGUGCCAGAGACCUGGGA